UGCACAGUGGUCUAGUGGUAAGACACCUGCCUCCCACGCAGGAGAUUAUGGUUCGAUUCCAUACUGUGCAA
rnacentral:tRNA from 1 species